CUUGCAUCUUAAAAGGUCAACAAAAUACAACCUAAUUCACUUCUCUUAUACAGACACAAGAACAGGCACACAAGAUAUGCACAGGCAAGUUUAUUUUCAGUACUGCAAUGACACAGUGAAAGUACGGUCUCACCACUCUUACUGCCAGAAGUAAGUAAUAUACUCCAAGAAAGCAACACAAAACAUUGGAGAGUAAGGACAGAAAUAUAAAAUAUGAGAGAUCACUAAAGAGUGGACUCCUGAUUCACUCAGUGCAUAGGAUGGAUCUGCUCUGGGGAUGAAUCUGAGUUAUGUAGUGAAUGAAGCUUUUAUGUGUAUGACCCCUGCCGAAUUCCAUCAUGUGGAGUCAUAAUGACCUCUACAUGUGUCAGCAGCACAGUUGGAACCUUCAGAUCGACAGCACAGAACUAAAGGAAUAACUGACAGCAAGAUAAGAUUGUCAUCCUCUGUUUGGACCAGCCACUAACAGGACUACGUGAACAUGAAAUAGCAGCCUCCACCACUGUGAAGUGACAAGUUAGAAGAUGAAAAUAAGGAAAAAAUACCUUACUGCCAAGAUGAAUUAUCUGAGAGCAAGACGGAGAACAGUUCAACUUUGUCUAUCUUCUCAAAUCACACAAUUUCACAAGGUGCUGAGCCACAGGUUUCCAUGGGUACUGUGGGUGCUCCACAAAUGCAGUUUUCACUAAUUUUUACUGAAAUUCUGGAAGUGCUGGAUCUCCGCAGAUAUACCUCUCUCCUUCUGGAAUGGGGAGCCAGCUCCAGGGGAUCUCUCUGGCACCUGAAGGAUGCUCCAGAAGGACAGACGGUCACUUGGAUUUCUGGAGAUGGCUGAGCAUACUACAGACUAAGCAUACUAUGGCUGAACAGACUACAGAAGGCGGAAAGGAGAAUUUUUGUAGCUAAUACAGCUGGCUGGCUGACCUUGAGAUCAUUCCUGUUCAAUUAUUUUUUUCCAGUGCUGCUCAGUGUAUUAUGUUGUUGAACUGCAUGCCAUCCUCAGCGGCGACCAUACCUCCACUGCCAAGAGCCCCGUGGAUACUUCGGGGGGACUGGAGGCAGCAGCCAGCAGAGUCAACCCUGAGGACAAAGUGGUGGACAAGGAUGUCAAGUUGGACGAGGAUGUGGGACAGGCGACAGGGUCAUCUUGUGGAGUGGCAAGCCAGGACCUCUUUUUGAAUCUGGAGGGGUCUAGCCAGUCCCAGUACUCUGUCUCUAGCACACCUGAGGCAGGAGAGGAGAGCUCCGCGUAAGACAAGGAACUACAGCUGGCUACAGACUGACUGACUGGGAACAUAAGGAAAGCCUAGAGGUCAUGUAAAGAGAUCUUUUUCACUUUUAUUCAAAUCUAAAAUCAUAAAUCAAAUAUAUAUCCCCAAACCAUGCUGCAUUUUAAUAAGAAUGCUUAUAUAAUGAGCCAUAUCUAUGCUGGUGGCAGGAUGGGGAGCAAUUGACUGAAUGGAACCAGAGAAGGCCUUUAGAAAUUACCUGACUGGGUGGGGCAAGUCAUCCAUUUCUUCUGCUUUUUGAAGGCUUUAGAAAGACACUAUGCAGAAGGCCAAUGUGCAUUUCUAACCUUAGGUCCGACGUACUUGUCAGUCAACACAUCCAGGAUUUUUUAUGCAUAUGUUAGAUCAAAACACCAUCUUCCCUCUAAGAAAGGGACAUACUUCAUUUCAAAAAAUAAAAUAAAAUGUGUUUUUUGGAAAAAUACACAGAAUAAUCAUAUUUUUGUUAUUAGAAAGCCAGUUCAGGAAUCCAGGUUUUCUUUGGAAGAGUUUUCCAAAAAGGGUUUCCCUAUACUGAUACCUCCCUAACGAACCAUGAUAUCACAAUACAUUGAUUCAAUUUAUAGACUUAAUUUCUAUUCAACUGCAUUAGUGGUGUGAUAAACACUUUCCAAUUUAUAAUUCCUAUGUAAUUAAUGCAUAACUAGAGUGGUUGAAAGCUAACCAAUUGUACACAGUCACUUAACAUAUUUUCUUAUACUUAAGCAAUAAGCAGGUGUGGCACGGAGACCCCUUGGAAGACGGUCCCCUGUUCUUUGCAAUAUCUCUCACCUCAGACUCACUACACCAAACAUGUCUCACAGGAUAUUUAUCCAUGAAGACCAAUAUGUAAGGUAUCUACAGAAAGCUCAUAACUUGUCAAGACUCAUAACCAUUAUGAGAUACAUAUACAGGUAAUAUUUAAGGAAUAAUGUAUUUAUAUUCAUGUAUGCUUUAUGGGCUUGGAGUAGAAAUUAGUCAGCAGGAGGUAAUGUAUCUUGGUGGUGGCCUAUUCUGGCAAGGGGGAGUUGUCACCUCACCCUGUUUGGCCAGUGGGACGAUGCAAGGCUCAGUUGUUCAACUUCACACAAUACUAAGACUUUGAAUGGGAAACCAUCAGAAGCAAGGACAAAUAAUCAAAUCACUUACAGGUAAAAAAGAAACUUUACAACAAGCCAGGAGUUUGCACCUUGUGUGAACAAAACAAAAGGUUGUUUUCAGUAUAACACGGAGGGAGAAGCCAUUUCCUCAGGGCCGGUGCAAGGAUGUUUCACACCCUAGGCGAAACUUCCACCUUGCGCCCCCCACCUGAGGUAGCUCCCCCACUCCGCCCUGAGGCAUCCC